CCUACGGGUGACAGCAGUGAGGAAUAUUGGUCAAUGGACGAGAGUCUGAACCAGCCAAGUAGCGUGAAGGAUGACUGCCCUAUGGGUUGUAAACUUCUUUUAUAUGGGAAUAAAAUGUUCCACGUGUGGGAUUUUGUAUGUACCAUAUGAAUAAGGAUCGGCUAACUCCGUGCCAGCAGCCGCGGUAAUACGGAGGAUCCGAGCGUUAUCCGGAUUUAUUGGGUUUAAAGGGAGCGUAGGUGGAUUGUUAAGUCAGUUGUGAAAGUGUGCGGCUCAACCGUAAAAUUGCAGUUGAAACUGGCAGUCUUGAGUACAGUAGAGGUGUGCGGAAUUCGUGGUGUAGCGGUGAAAUGCUUAGAUAUCACGAAGAACUCCGAUUGCGAAGGCAGUUCACUGGACUGCAACUGACACUGAGGCUCGAAAGUGUGGGUAUCAAACAGGAUUAGAUACCCGUGUAGUC
rnacentral:rRNA from 1 species